UACGUAGGGGGCAAGCGUUGUCCGGAUUUAUUGGGCGUAAAGAGCGUGUAGGCGGCCAUACAGGUCAGCUGUGAAAACUCGAGGCUCAACCUCGAGACGUCGGUUGAAACCGUAUGGCUAGAGUCCGGAAGAGGAGAGUGGAAUUCCCGGUGUAGCGGUGAAAUGCGCAGAUAUCGGGAAGAACACCUAUGGCGAAGGCAGCUCUCUGGGACGGUACCGACGCUGAGACGCGAAAGCGUGGGAGCGAACAGG
rnacentral:rRNA from 1 species